UGUACGUCUAUUAUCAUGGGGUUGUAUUUUGAUUUAACAUUCUUAUCCCUCACACUCAUACUAAUAAAUUAUUUGUAAUACAUUACCUGUUAUGAUAAUCUUAUAUACCUUGCGACUGUUAAGGUUUGCUGUUGACAGCUUGAAAUGAAGUAGAUCAUUCGUUUCCAGACAGUGAACCAAAGCGUGUCUCUUUUUUUUAUUUAAGAAAGAACAUUUUAGCUGGCGACGAGGUGAAAGUAAGAGUUUAUUUCGCGUGUGGCAUUAAGUGCUUUAUGAGAAGUUUUUCUGGGAGUUCAACUGGCCAAUUUAGGAGAUUGCUGUGCCGGUCUCGAGUGACGCUAUACCCGGAGCAUCGCGGAAGUGCUUUUGAGCAGCGCGGCCAAGGCAGAUUGUGUUCUCAGGUUGAAAACAUUCCCUGAUUGAGGCUGUCGGUCGAAUAAUUUGAGACAAAUAAGGAAGUAGUUGCUGUUGCUGGGCGUUUAAAAGUUGUUGCUGUUGCUGGGCAUUUGGAAGUUAUUGCUGCGGAUUCGAUAGUGUUGGCUGUUGCGGGACAUUCCGAGGAAUUCUGGUGGAUAACCGGUGGAGAGAUUGGCGUUGCGGAGUCGGGCUGGUACCAAUCGACGGUGUUGUUGCUGGAGGUUGAACAGAUUGCCAUCGGAGCGCAUCUCCUCACGGCCCACAGGGGGCAGAUAAAGCUCGUCAAGAAGAAUGAGAGAAGAAGGAAUGUGUCGUUCCAAGUCGAAGGCAGAGUUGCGAAUAGAAGGGGAGCGAAGAGACGAUAUCCUGCAUCAGAUGAUGAAGAACCAUUCCAUGGUUUCGAAUUCUCGAUCGAACCUCCACCAGCUAGGAGUGAACUGCACCCAGAAGCGUUGCAAGAGACUGCGGAUACUAGAAGGCCAACGAAUUUUCAAUCAGUUGGAGCUCGGAAAUCCACCAGGAAGAAGAAGAGAGCAGAACAUGAAGACUUCCUAUAUUAUUAGUACACACUAGUGAGAAUAUCAAGUGCUAUCGAAAAUGAAGGUUUAUUAUCAAGUGAACUCUGGUAUACGAAAAAUUGAUUUGAAAAGUUGAAUUAGUUGUAAAUAAUCAGUAAUGAUUUUCAAACUAAAAAGGGAAGGAAUUGUAAUGUACGUCUAUUAUCAUGGGGUUGUAUUUUGAUUUAACAUUCUUAUCCCUCACACUCAUACUAAUAAAUUAUUUGUAAUACAUUACCUGUUAUGAUAAUCUUAUAUACCUUGCGACUGUUAAGGUUUGCUGUUGACAGCUUGAAAUAAAGUAGAUCAUUCGUUUCCAGACAGUGAA